rnacentral:lncRNA from 1 species
UGCCUUGAGACAUUGUUAGAACAAAAGAAAUGAGCAGAGGAAUAAAACCGAGAGAAAGAACCAAUAUAACAAUAAGAACACAAAUGAGUUGAGAUGAAUGACUCCUCUUAACACCUAUCUCUAUAAAUACUAGAGACACGAGGAUCUUAUACUCAAUGAUCACGCAAAUUCGGAGAUCCCAAAUCGCCUUAUGACACCCAAUCAAAUUAUAUUCGGAGAAACUUUUAAUUACAGAGACCCCCAAUUCCAUUAUAACAGAUUCCAAAAAUCGAAAAAAAAAUCAUCAUAAAAUCUGUGAGAUCAAAAUCAAAUACUAGAUUCAGAAACUCGUCGAUAUUACAAGAUCUUACUAAAAAGGAAACCUAGACUUUUACAAAACCAUCCCCACCAUUUAAAGCAAAUCGAGCAGAGAAGUCAUACCUACCCACGCAUCGCAGUGUACCCCAAUUUGCCGAAUCAUUACAAAUCCAAAGAUGAUUGAUUUUGGCUCCACCCCGCUUCCUUUCCCAAACCUCCCCCCUC